AGAGUUUGAUCCUGGCUCAGAUUGAACGCUGGCGGCAGGCUUAACACAUGCAAGUCGAGCGGAUGAAGGGAGCUUGCUCCUGGAUUCAGCGGCGGACGGGUGAGUAAUGCUUAGGAAUCUGCCUAUUAGUGGGGGACAACAGUUGGAAACGACUGCUAAUACCGCAUACGCCCUACGGGGGAAAGGAGGGGAUCUUCGGACCUUUCGCUAAUAGAUGAGCCUAAGUCAGAUUAGCUAGUUGGUGGGGUAAAGGCCUACCAAGGCGACGAUCUGUAGCGGGUCUGAGAGGAUGAUCCGCCACACUGGGACUGAGACACGGCCCAGACUCCUACGGGAGGCAGCAGUGGGGAAUAUUGGACAAUGGGGGCAACCCUGAUCUAGCCAUGCCGCGUGUGUGAAGAAGGCCUUUUGGUUGUAAAGCACUUUAAGCGAGGAGGAGGCUCUUCUAGUUAAUACCUAGGAUGAGUGGACGUUACUCGCAGAAUAAGCACCGGCUAACUCUGUGCCAGCAGCCGCGGUAAUACAGAGGGUGCGAGCGUUAAUCGGAUUUACUGGGCGUAAAGCGUACGUAGGCGGCUUUUUAAGUCGGAUGUGAAAUCCCUGAGCUUAACUUAGGAAUUGCAUUCGAUACUGGGAAGCUAGAGUAUGGGAGAGGAUGGUAGAAUUCCAGGUGUAGCGGUGAAAUGCGUAGAGAUCUGGAGGAAUACCGAUGGCGAAGGCAGCCAUCUGGCCUAAUACUGACGCUGAGGUACGAAAGCAUGGGGAGCAAACAGGAUUAGAUACCCUGGUAGUCCAUGCCGUAAACGAUGUCUACUAGCCGUUGGGGCCUUUGAGGCUUUAGUGGCGCAGCUAACGCGAUAAGUAGACCGCCUGGGGAGUACGGUCGCAAGACUAAAACUCAAAUGAAUUGACGGGGGCCCGCACAAGCGGUGGAGCAUGUGGUUUAAUUCGAUGCAACGCGAAGAACCUUACCUGGUCUUGACAUAGUAAGAACUUUCCAGAGAUGGAUUGGUGCCUUCGGGAACUUACAUACAGGUGCUGCAUGGCUGUCGUCAGCUCGUGUCGUGAGAUGUUGGGUUAAGUCCCGCAACGAGCGCAACCCUUUUCCUUAUUUGCCAGCGGGUUAAGCCGGGAACUUUAAGGAUACUGCCAGUGACAAACUGGAGGAAGGCGGGGACGACGUCAAGUCAUCAUGGCCCUUACGACCAGGGCUACACACGUGCUACAAUGGUCGGUACAAAGGGUUGCUACUCCGCGAGGAGAUGCUAAUCUCAAAAAGCCGAUCGUAGUCCGGAUCGCAGUCUGCAACUCGACUACAUGAAGCUGGAAUCGCUAGUAAUCGCGAAUCAGAAUGUCGCGGUGAAUACGUUCCCGGGCCUUGUACUAACCGCCCGUCA
rnacentral:rRNA from 1 species